rnacentral:pre_miRNA from 1 species
UUACUACUCCCUCCGUUCGGAAUUACUUGUCUCGGAAAUGGAUGUAUCUAGAUGUUCUAGAUACAUUCAUUUCCGAGACAAGUAAUUCCGAAUGGAGGGAGUACCUC